rnacentral:rRNA from 1 species
GUAGGUGGCAAGCGUUGUCCGGAAUUAUUGGGCGUAAAGCGCGCGCAGGCGGUUCUUUAAGUCUGAUGUGAAAGCCCACGGCUCAACCGUGGAGGGUCAUUGGAAACUGGAGAACUUGAGUACAGAAGAGGAAAGCGGAAUUCCACGUGUAGCGGUGAAAUGCGUAGAGAUGUGGAGGAACACCAGUGGCGAAGGCGGCUUUCUGGUCUGUAACUGACGCUGAGGCGCGAAAGCGUGGGGAGCAAACAGGGAUUAGAUACCCUGGUAGUCCACGCGUAAACGAUGAGUGCUAAGUGUUAGGGGGUUUCCGCCCCCUUAGUGCUGCAGCUAACGCAUUAAGCACUCCGCCUGGGGAUACGGCCGCAAGGCUG